GAAAAUCCGUCGAUUUUAGAAAUCGUGAGGGUUCAAGUC
rnacentral:tRNA from 1 species